rnacentral:rRNA from 1 species
GUGCCAGCCGCCGCGGUAAGACSAACCGYGCGAACGUUGUUCGGAAUCACUGGGCUUAAAGGGCGCGUAGGCGGGCAAGCAAGUCCGGGGUGAAAUCUUUCGGCUUAACCGGAAAAGUGCCUUGGAUACUGCUUGUCUGGAGGGAGGUAGGGGCAUGUGGAACUUCCGGUGGAGCGGUGAAAUGCGUUGAUAUCGGAAGGAACGCCGGUGGCGAAAGCGACNUGCUGGACCUCUUCUGACGCUGAUGCGCGAAAGCUAGGGGAGCGAACGGGAUUAGAUACCCCGGUAGUCCUAGCCCUAAACGAUGGGUACUAGGUAGUGGACUUAACAUGGGUUCACUGCCGAAGCAAAAGUGUUAAGUACCCCGCCUGGGGAGUAUGGUCGCAAGGCUGAAACUCAAAGGAAUUGACGGGGGCUCACACAAGCGGUGGAGCAUGUGGCUUAAUUCGAGGCUACGCGAAGAACCUUAUCCUGGGCUUGACAUGUGCGAAAGC